UGAGUUUGUGAUCAAAAGGAGACCGAGGACAAUUUUCAUCUUUGCAUCCCCACGUGUCUGUUUCAAGACGUCUGGCUUGCACAACUUCCUAAACCUAAAGUUCCUCAGAAGGCUUGGCCGAGAGUUCUAGCUACAUUAUUAAACUCCUGAACAGAGGAGGCAGCCUGAGGAGAUCCAAGGAUCCCCUUAAGAACCGGAGGAAUAAUCUAGACUCACAGUUGCAACAGAGGAGAGCAGAAUCAAUUUCCUGCAAAUGACCAGCUGCAUAAAUGUGGAUGACAAUGCUCCUGUUUCCUCUGUUAUUCGCUGAGGGAGACGUGCU
rnacentral:lncRNA from 1 species